UUAAGCGACUAAGCGUACACGGUGGAUGCCCUGGCAGUCAGAGGCGAUGAAGGACGUGCUAAUCUGCGAUAAGCGUCGGUGAGGUGAUAUGAACCGUUAUAACCGGCGAUUUCCGAAUGGGGAAACCCAGUGUGUUUCGACACACUAUCAUUAACUGAAUCCAUAGGUUAAUGAGGCGAACCGGGGGAACUGAAACAUCUAAGUACCCCGAGGAAAAGAAAUCAACCGAGAUUCCCCCAGUAGCGGCGAGCGAACGGGGAGGAGCCCAGAGCCUGAAUCAGUGUGUGUGUUAGUGGAAGCGUCUGGAAAGGCGUGCGAUACAGGGUGACAGCCCCGUACACAAAAAUGCACAUAUUGUGAGCUCGAUGAGUAGGGCGGGACACGUGGUAUCCUGUCUGAAUAUGGGGGGACCAUCCUCCAAGGCUAAAUACUCCUGACUGACCGAUAGUGAACCAGUACCGUGAGGGAAAGGCGAAAAGAACCCCGGCGAGGGGAGUGAAAAAGAACCUGAAACCGUGUACGUACAAGCAGUGGGAGCCUCUUAAUGGGGUGACUGCGUACCUUUUGUAUAAUGGGUCAGCGACUUAUAUUCUGUAGCAAGGUUAACCGAAUAGGGGAGCCGAAGGGAAACCGAGUCUUAACUGGGCGUUAAGUUGCAGGGUAUAGACCCGAAACCCGGUGAUCUAGCCAUGGGCAGGUUGAAGGUUGGGUAACACUAACUGGAGGACCGAACCGACUAAUGUUGAAAAAUUAGCGGAUGACUUGUGGCUGGGGGUGAAAGGCCAAUCAAACCGGGAGAUAGCUGGUUCUCCCCGAAAGCUAUUUAGGUAGCGCCUCGUGAAUUCAUCUCCGGGGGUAGAGCACUGUUUCGGCAAGGGGGUCAUCCCGACUUACCAACCCGAUGCAAACUGCGAAUACCGGAGAAUGUUAUCACGGGAGACACACGGCGGGUGCUAACGUCCGUCGUGAAGAGGGAAACAACCCAGACCGCCAGCUAAGGUCCCAAAGUCAUGGUUAAGUGGGAAACGAUGUGGGAAGGCCCAGACAGCCAGGAUGUUGGCUUAGAAGCAGCCAUCAUUUAAAGAAAGCGUAAUAGCUCACUGGUCGAGUCGGCCUGCGCGGAAGAUGUAACGGGGCUAAACCAUGCACCGAAGCUGCGGCAGCGACACUAUGUGUUGUUGGGUAGGGGAGCGUUCUGUAAGCCUGUGAAGGUGGCCUGUGAGGGUUGCUGGAGGUAUCAGAAGUGCGAAUGCUGACAUAAGUAACGAUAAAGCGGGUGAAAAGCCCGCUCGCCGGAAGACCAAGGGUUCCUGUCCAACGUUAAUCGGGGCAGGGUGAGUCGACCCCUAAGGCGAGGCCGAAAGGCGUAGUCGAUGGGAAACAGGUUAAUAUUCCUGUACUUGGUGUUACUGCGAAGGGGGGACGGAGAAGGCUAUGUUGGCCGGGCGACGGUUGUCCCGGUUUAAGCGUGUAGGCUGGUUUUCCAGGCAAAUCCGGAAAACCAAGGCUGAGGCGUGAUGACGAGGCACUACGGUGCUGAAGUGACAAAUGCCCUGCUUCCAGGAAAAGCCUCUAAGCAUCAGGUAACAUCAAAUCGUACCCCAAACCGACACAGGUGGUCAGGUAGAGAAUACCAAGGCGCUUGAGAGAACUCGGGUGAAGGAACUAGGCAAAAUGGUGCCGUAACUUCGGGAGAAGGCACGCUGAUAUGUAGGUGAAGCGACUUGCUCGUGGAGCUGAAAUCAGUCGAAGAUACCAGCUGGCUGCAACUGUUUAUUAAAAACACAGCACUGUGCAAACACGAAAGUGGACGUAUACGGUGUGACGCCUGCCCGGUGCCGGAAGGUUAAUUGAUGGGGUUAGCGGCAACGCGAAGCUCUUGAUCGAAGCCCCGGUAAACGGCGGCCGUAACUAUAACGGUCCUAAGGUAGCGAAAUUCCUUGUCGGGUAAGUUCCGACCUGCACGAAUGGCGUAAUGAUGGCCAGGCUGUCUCCACCCGAGACUCAGUGAAAUUGAACUCGCUGUGAAGAUGCAGUGUACCCGCGGCAAGACGGAAAGACCCCGUGAACCUUUACUAUAGCUUGACACUGAACAUUGAGCCUUGAUGUGUAGGAUAGGUGGGAGGCUUUGAAGUGUGGACGCCAGUCUGCAUGGAGCCGACCUUGAAAUACCACCCUUUAAUGUUUGAUGUUCUAACGUUGGCCCGUAAUCCGGGUUGCGGACAGUGUCUGGUGGGUAGUUUGACUGGGGCGGUCUCCUCCUAAAGAGUAACGGAGGAGCACGAAGGUUGGCUAAUCCUGGUCGGACAUCAGGAGGUUAGUGCAAUGGCAUAAGCCAGCUUGACUGCGAGCGUGACGGCGCGAGCAGGUGCGAAAGCAGGUCAUAGUGAUCCGGUGGUUCUGAAUGGAAGGGCCAUCGCUCAACGGAUAAAAGGUACUCCGGGGAUAACAGGCUGAUACCGCCCAAGAGUUCAUAUCGACGGCGGUGUUUGGCACCUCGAUGUCGGCUCAUCACAUCCUGGGGCUGAAGUAGGUCCCAAGGGUAUGGCUGUUCGCCAUUUAAAGUGGUACGCGAGCUGGGUUUAGAACGUCGUGAGACAGUUCGGUCCCUAUCUGCCGUGGGCGCUGGAGAACUGAGGGGGGCUGCUCCUAGUACGAGAGGACCGGAGUGGACGCAUCACUGGUGUUCGGGUUGUCAUGCCAAUGGCACUGCCCGGUAGCUAAAUGCGGAAGAGAUAAGUGCUGAAAGCAUCUAAGCACGAAACUUGCCCCGAGAUGAGUUCUCCCUGACUCCUUGAGAGUCCUGAAGGAACGUUGAAGACGACGACGUUGAUAGGCCGGGUGUGUAAGCGCAGCGAUGCGUUGAGCUAACCGGUACUAAUGAACCGUGAGGCUUAACCUU
rnacentral:rRNA from 12 species